rnacentral:lncRNA from 1 species
UAUAUGUGUAACAAAAAAGACGGGCAGGUUAAGUAGUAUUAAUUAAAUGAAUCGAUAUACCAUAAUAGGAGCAGAAAAAGAGUGGGAAGGGGGAACAACUCUCGUUCUCUCUGUUCAACAAUCGUGUUGCCUUGGUAGCAGCAGCAAUAAAAACAACAGACAACAUAAUACAGAAACUAAGUAACACAAAUAUUCCUGAUUCCACAACAAUAUCAGAAAGAAGAAAUAAAAGAAAUUGAACAAAACUGGAGAUCGAACCAUGGAUAUACGCAUCCAUCUUUAUCUUUACAACCCUUUCCAUACUCUUACUCGUUGGACUAUAUUUCCUGUAUCCUGGAUGUUAUCAUCCCUGGCCACAACCCCACAAUACUCUACAACAUCUAUACUCCUACUUAACUUCCCUAUGCCGUGUUCAUCAUAAAAAUUGGGUCAACUCUUCCUCCUCCACUACUGUUGGAGUUCUUCCGGAAUCCAAGAGUCGCAUUGCUUUUGAAUAAUUAAGCAGGAAACUCUUUUAUAUAUAAAUAUAUAUAAUACUGUUCACAAAAUGUAUAAAUAAAAUCAUAAGAUGACAACA